rnacentral:rRNA from 1 species
AACGUAGGAGACAAACGUUAUCCGGAGUUACUGGGCGUAAAGGGCGUGUAGGUGGUAAUGUAAGUCUGGCGUGAAAUUUUUCGGCUUAACCGGGAAAGGUCGUCGGAGACUGCAUAACUAGAGGACGGUAGAGGCGUGUGGAAUUCCGGGUGUAGUGGUGAAAUGCGUAGAGAUCCGGAGGAACACCAGUGGCGAAGGCGACACGCUGGGCCGUACCUGACACUGAGGGCGCGAUACAUGGGGGAGCAAACAGG